UAUGGCCAUAUCACAUUAAAACACCAGUUCUCAUAUGAUCACUGAAGUUAAGUAACUUCAAGCCCGGUCAGUACCUAGAUGGGUGACUGCUUGGGAAUAUCAGGUGCUGUAAG